GGCGGCGUAGCUCAGCUUGGUAGAGCAGUCGGCUCAUACCCGGCGUGUCACUGGUUCAAAUCCAGUCGCCGCUACCA
rnacentral:tRNA from 1 species